rnacentral:rRNA from 1 species
GGCCGCGGGAAUUCGAUUGAGUUUGAUUCUGGCUUAAGAUGAACGCUGGCGGCGUGCCUAACACAUUGCAAGUCGAACGGGGGAGCAUGAGGAAAAAAGCGCUUUGCGUUUUUUUGGAAUCAUGUUUUCCAGUCGGCGGACGGGUUGAGUAACGCGUGGGCAACCUGCCCUGUACAGGGGGAUACCAUCUGGAAACAGAUGCUAAUACCGCAUAACCGCAUCAGCCCGCAUGGGCAGAUGCGGAAAGGGAGAAAUCCCGGUACAGGAUGGACCCGCGUCUGAUUAGCCAGUUGGCAGGGUAACGGCCUACCAAAGCGACGAUCAGUAGCCGGCCUGAGAGGGUGGACGGCCACAUUGGGACUGAGACACGGCCCAGACUCCUACGGGAGGCAGCAGUGGGGAAUAUUGCACAAUGGGGGAAACCCUGAUGCAGCGACGCCGCGUGAGUGAAGAAGUAUUUCGGUAUGUAAAGCUCUGUCAGCAGGGAAGAAGAAAGACGGUACCUGACCAAGAAGCCCCGGCUAACUACGUGCCAGCAGCCGCGGUAAUACGUANGGGGCAAGCGUUAUCCGGAAUCACUGGGUGUAAAGGGAGCGUAGACGGCUGUGCAAGCCUGGAGUGAAAGGCCGGGGCCAACCCCCNGACUGCUCUGGGAACUGUAUGGCUGGAGUGCANGAGAGGUAAGUUGGAUUCCUGGUGUUACCGUGAAAUGCUUAGAUAUCAAGAAGAACACCUUGGCCGAAGCGGCUUACUGGACUGUUACUGACU